rnacentral:rRNA from 1 species
UCUUCCCUCUUUCCUCGUGCCUAAUACAUGCAAGUCGAGCGAACGGACGAGAAGCUUGCUUCUCUGAUGUUAGCGGCGGACGGGUGAGUAACACGUGGAUAACCUACCUAUAAGACUGGGAUAACUUCGGGAAACCGGAGCUAAUACCGGAUAAUAUUUUGAACCGCAUGGUUCAAAAGUGAAAGACGGUCUUGCUGUCACUUAUAGAUGGAUCCGCGCUGCAUUAGCUAGUUGGUAAGGUAACGGCUUACCAAGGCAACGAUGCAUAGCCGACCUGAGAGGGUGAUCGGCCACACUGGAACUGAGACACGGUCCAGACUCCUACGGGAGGCAGCAGUAGGGAAUCUUCCGCAAUGGGCGAAAGCCUGACGGAGCAACGCCGCGUGAGUGAUGAAGGUCUUCGGAUCGUAAAACUCUGUUAUUAGGGAAGAACAUAUGUGUAAGUAACUGUGCACAUCUUGACGGUACCUAAUCAGAAAGCCACGGCUAACUACGUG